GGGCGUCUGGAAACCCAGCCUCGCCUCCAGGGGUGGGCAGGAAGACCCCUGGCAGGGGCCGGCGCCGCGGGCGGCCCUCCGCCUCUGCUGCCCCCUGGUGCGGGCGCCCACACCUCGCCCUCGACCCGCUACGCGACCGGCAGGUUAAUCCCUGUCCCUACACCUCUGUCCCGCACGGCCGCCCGCCCAGCCCUCCACCUCUGCAAACCGGCAGAGGGCCUACCCCUCUCUUCUCUCCUGUCCAGGGUCACCCAGGAGACAGGGUGUCCCUCCAGGCGCCCUCCUUCCCGCCCCCCCGGGGCCUCGGAUCAAGAGAUCAGACCCAAGCGGACGCUCCCACCCUCCUCGCCCACACCCACUCUCCGCCAAGCCGGGCCGGAGCUGAGAUUUCCCUGGCGCUGGCUCUGCAGUUGGUGCCAACCCCACAGAGCUGGCCCCUGGAGCACAAAGGCAGCUCUGCCAAGGUCACUGCGGUCGGAUGCUCCGCACUCCGCGUGGAAACACCAUACAGUCACUCGAAUAACAUUGGAGGCGCGGCCAGGCCCCCGGGCCAAUCCACAACAGCCACCCCCUGGAACUCGGUGUUGGAUGAGUGAGUCUGUGCCAAGCUGCCGCUCAGGAUGCCAGGCACACCGCCCGCUCCUGGCAGCCGCCGUCUCCCUCCCUCCCCACAGCUGCCCUGGCUCUAAGGAGCCACGGGAGGGGCUUCAGGGCAGAGCUCCAGGGCUGGGUGGAGGGGUGGGGCUGGGUGUGGGGGGUGCAGCUGCCCCGGCUUCUGGACAGGUGGGUGCUGGCAGUGCCUCCCGGACGGGGUGGGAGGAGAGAAAGGAGAGCGAGGUAGCGGCUUUGGGGGCAGAAUGUAGGCGGGAAGGGAUUCUGAGAAGUUCUGACUGCUUCUCAAAGGAGUUCCUGUUGAACCCGAAAGCGAAAGGGUGCCUUGGGUGGCGUUUGGAAAGGAACUGCAGGAUGGAAUUGUGCGCUGGCCAGACCCCAGUGCGGGUGGGGUGGGGUGUGCGGGGUGGGCCACAGCCUCCCAGCCGGCUGAGUAAGAGGGCUGUGACAUUAUGGCGGGGGAGCGCGAGGGGAUGGGAGGGUACUUGGGCCUGUCACACCCUUGAAGUGGCCUCCCAGCUUUGGGCUUUUAUUUUUGGCACCUGUGACACAUAG
rnacentral:lncRNA from 1 species